rnacentral:rRNA from 1 species
AGACCCGAAACCCGGUGAUCUAGCCAUGGGCAGGUUGAAGGUUGGGUAACACUAACUGGAGGACCGAACCGACUAAUGUUGAAAAAUUAGCGGAUGACCUGUGGCUGGGGGUGAAAGGCCAAUCAAACCGGGAGAUAGCUGGUUCUCCCCGAAAGCUAUUUAGGUAGCGCCUCGUGAAUUCAUCUCCGGGGGUAGAGCACUGUUUCGGCUAGGGGGCCAUCCCGGCUUACCAACCCGAUGCAAACUGCGAAUACCGGAGAAUGUUAUCACGGGAGACACACGGCGGGUGCUAACGUCCGUCGUGAAGAGGGAAACAACCCAGACCGCCAGCUAAGGUCCCAAAGUCAUGGUUAAGUGGGAAACGAUGUGGGAAGGCCCAGACAGCCAGGAUGUUGGCUUAGAAGCAGCCAUCAUUUAAAGAAAGCGUAAUAGCUCACUGGUCGAGUCGGCCUGCGCGGAAGAUGUAACGGGGCUAAACCAUGCACCGAAGCUGCGGCAGCGACGCUGAUGCGUUGUUGGGUAGGGGAGCGUUCUGUAAGCCUGCGAAGGUGGCCUGUGAGGGUUGCUGGAGGUAUCAGAAGUGCGAAUGCUGACAUAAGUAACGAUAAAGCGGGUGAAAAGCCCGCUCGCCGGAAGACCAAGGGUUCCUGUCCAACGUUAAUCGGGGCAGGGUGAGUCGACCCCUAAGGCGAGGCCGAAAGGCGUAGUCGAUGGGAAACGGGUUAAUAUUCCCGUACUUGGUGUUACUGCGAAGGGGGGACGGAGAAGGCUAUGUUGGCCGGGCGACGGUUGUCCCGGUUUAAGCGUGUAGGUGUGUGUUCCAGGUAAAUCCGGUUCACUUUAACACUGAGGCGUGACGACGAGGCACUACGGUGCUGAAGCAACAAAUGCCCUGCUUCCAGGAAAAGCCUCUAAGCAUCAGGUAACACGAAAUCGUACCCCAAACCGACACAGGUGGUCAGGUAGAGAAUACCAAGGCGCUUGAGAGAACUCGGGUGAAGGAACUAGGCAAAAUGGUGCCGUAACUUCGGGAGAAGGCACGCUGACACGUAGGUGAAGUGAUUUACUCAUGGAGCUGAAGUCAGUCGAAGAUACCAGCUGGCUGCAACUGUUUAUUAAAAACACAGCACUGUGCAAACACGAAAGUGGACGUAUACGGUGUGACGCCUGCCCGGUGCCGGAAGGUUAAUUGAUGGGGUCAGCGCAAGCGAAGCUCCUGAUCGAAGCCCCGGUAAACGGCGGCCGUAACUAUAACGGUCCUAAGGUAGCGAAAUUCCUUGUCGGGUAAGUUCCGACCUGCACGAAUGGCGUAAUGAUGGCCAGGCUGUCUCCACCCGAGACUCAGUGAAAUUGAACUCGCUGUGAAGAUGCAGUGUACCCGCGGCAAGACGGAAAGACCCCGUGAACCUUUACUAUAGCUUGACACUGAACAUUGAGCCUUGAUGUGUAGGAUAGGUGGGAGGCUUUGAAGCGUGGACGCCAGUCUGC